rfam:Salmo salar isolate Sally breed double haploid chromosome ssa08, whole genome shotgun sequence.
UAGCUCAGUUGGUAGAGCAUGGUGUUUGCAACGCCAGGGUUGUGGGUUCGAUUCUCAC